UUUAAACACUCAGAUCUUUGAAUUUGAACUCAGAACAUUCCACUUCUGUUAUUCAUAUCGGAUGCCACUCAACAAGCUUGGCUGAUGAGUCCGACUGCCAACCUUUACAAUAUAGUGAUGCUGAAGAAGGCGUGGAGAAUGAAUAUUUGGAAGUUCAACCCGGAAACAGAAGCAAAUCAUCUAUGCAUGUUAACCAAGACACAGAAAGUUCAAAUUUUAUUGAUGAUCACAUUGCAGAUUUGAUUACACAGGACACUGUACUGUUGGUGUACCAGAAAAAUCUUAUGCAACUAGUACAACACUGCAAUUUUUCAGUUUGUCGCAUAUGUGGGAUGGAGCCACAGCAUUCCAUUCAACAGUCUGGAUCUUGCAUCACAUUACUAUGGGUGUGCUCAAGGGGUCACACAGUCUACAAAUGGUCCAGCCAGCCUCAAAUAAAGAGUGGUUUAAAUGCCGGAGAUUUAAUGCUUGCUGCUGCAACUACUCUCACAGGCAACAACUAUGCCAAGAUUUCAUUGUUAGCAAGGUGUUUAAGUCUACCUUUUAUAUCUCGUUCUGCCUUUUUCCGGUACCAACACCUAUACAUCAUCCCUGUAAUCAAUAACUACUGGGAGGGGAUGGUGAGCAGAAUGCUUGCUGAACGUCAAAAUGCUGCAGUUGCAGUCAUGGGUAUUCACUAUGCCUAUCUUAAUUAUUUUUUUAAUUUGUUUUGGAACAGUAAUUUGAAACCUCAUCAAGUCUUUACACAUCUUCUUCUCUUCAUGCAGGUGAUGCAAGGAUGGACAGUCCAGGCCAUUCAGCUCAGUAUUGUACAUACACAUGCAUGGAUCUGAACACCAAGGAAGUACUCAUGAUGACUGUUGUUGACAAACGGGAAACAGAGCUGUGCUCCUCUAAAAUGGAGAAAGUGGCAUUUGAAAGAUGCAUGAACAAGUUCAUAGAGUCUAAUGUCAGUGUGGAUGAGGUGGUCACUGAUGCACAUUCUCAAAUAGCGAAACUCAUGCGUAAGUAUCCACAAAUUUAACCGAAAUUGAACUAUUUGAUAUUGAAA